rnacentral:rRNA from 1 species
GGCUCAGGAUGAACGCUGGCGGCGUGCUUAACACAUGCAAGUCGAACGAAGCACCUCUAAUCGAAGAUUGAGAAGCUUGCUUUGAUGAUUCACCUUGAGGUGACUGAGUGGCGGACGGGUGAGUAACGCGUGGGUAACCUACCCUAUACAGGGGGAUAACAGUUGGAAACGACUGCUAAUACCGCAUAAGCGCACAGGACCGCAUGGUCUAGUGUGAAAAAACUCCGGUGGUAUGGGAUGGACCCGCGUCUGAUUAGCUAGUUGGUGAGGUAACGGCUCACCAAGGCGACGAUCAGUAGCCGACCUGAGAGGGUGACCGGCCACAUUGGGACUGAGACACGGCCCAAACUCCUACGGGAGGCAGCAGUGGGGAAUAUUGCACAAUGGGCGAAAGCCUGAUGCAGCGACGCCGCGUGAACGAAGAAGUAUUUCGGUAUGUAAAGUUCUAUCAGCAGGGAAGAAAAAUGACGGUACCUGACUAAGAAGCUCCGGCUAAAUACGUGCCAGCCGCCGC